UCUUGCCCAGUGACAUAGUUCAAGGUCGCGGUAUCCUAACCGUGCAAAGGUAGCAUAAUCACUUGCCUAUUACUUGUAGGCUAGAAUGAAAGGAAAAACGAAAUAUAAGCUCUCUCUGUAAGAAAAAAAAAUUUCUAACUGAAAAGUGUUAGAUAUAAUCGAAGGACAAGAAGACCCUAUAGAGCUUUAUCCAAAAAAGAAAUUAUUUAUAAGAUUCGGUUGGGGCGACCAAGAUACUUUCAAUCAUCCUUCAUCAACAGAUUUAUAGAUCUCAAUUUUUAUAGCAUAAAAUAAGCUACCUUAGGGAUAACAGGCUAAUUCUGCUAGAGAGUCCUUAGCUAAAGCAGGGAUUGGCACCUCGAUGUUGGCUUAGGGAAACUAUAUGACACAAAAGUCACAUAAAGAUGGUUUGUUCAACCAAUAAAUCCCUGCAUGAGCUGAGUUGAGACCGCGUAAGCCAGGUUAGUUUCUAUCCACAAUCCUAGCCAUAGUACGAAAGGACCUGGAUAAGGGUAAUUCAGCUAACGAAUUAAUGUAAUAAAUUCAUAAUACUAAAAACUAU
rnacentral:rRNA from 1 species